AUGGAGAAUAUCAAGCAAGAGAUUUCUGAACUCCGCAGAGAAAUGACUAUUUUGAAAGCUAGUGUGGAGCGCUUAACUGGUUUGGUCGAAAUUCUGGUUGCCGCCCAAGUCAAUCCUUCUAGGAGGGAGGAAGCGAUGAUAAAAGUCUUCACUGAAACUCUGAAAUCAUUCAUUCAUGAGAAGAUGAUGAUUAAUGCGCCUAGUGACUUUCCUGACAAGGUGAAUGUGGGAGUGCGUCUAGAAGAAGAUGUUGGGAAAGGAUGUUCAUAUGAAGAUGGUAGCUCAGCUAAUGGUGUGAAGAAGUUUGAUAAUGACUUUUCCAAGAAGAGAACCAGAGGAAGAAAUAAUCAUCAUCAGAAUCAUCAUGUUUCUCCCAUUUAUCAACAUAAUCAGCAAGUUCUUAAUCAGAGGAAAACCCAGUUUGAUCCAAUUCCAAUUACCUAUACAGAUUUGUUCCCUAUCCUG